rnacentral:lncRNA from 1 species
UUAUUCUGUACUCAUUUUGUCUUUGUUAUAGGCUUUGUUUUUGUCUAUGAUUAUCUAGUAUCGGUGGUAACCAUCUUUCAGCUCGAGACAUCCCAGAGACACCUAGCUUACUCUUACCAAAAUCUUACCUUGACUUUUACGUUUGCCUAUACUUCGCGUUACCUCUUGAAGUCAACAAGCACACAAAUCUCAGAAGGAUUGUUACAGUACGCUUACAAAAAAAAGUGAGACAAGGCUUCUUAAAGGCGGAAUACGUAAAAAAAUCCCCUGUUCACCAGAACAAUACAGUGGGUCUAAUUAGACUCAACUGAAAGUUGUUGGAAUCGGCAAGAAGUAGGACUUAUUUGUAUUCCCUGCCAUUGGAGCUACUAUGAUACUACUAUGAUGUCUAUGUUCUCAACCAUUUGGCAAACAGAACUGUCGAAGGAGGAAAGAGUGUUCCAUUCUUUCCUAUGGAAGUUCCCUAUAAAGUAUGGAAGGGCGUAAUUCUGAAUGUUUCGUUUCCUUCAUCAGUAUUUGGAUCUACGGUAUUUCUACAUAUUAAAAGAGUAUGACACACUAAUUGUACAGGGAGUAAUUGUGAGGCAAAACUUCCGAGGUGAUAGACUGUAUAUUUCAGACCGUAUCGCAUAUCAUGCGCUAGAUCAGACAAAGAAAAGAAACUGAGCUGCCCCAUAGGUUUAAAACCCGUCGUCUUUUCUCUUCUCUUAGCCCAGUUGCCAUAUUCUGCCUGGUGUUGAUUCAGUUCACCACAAGAGAAAAGAGGAUAAAGUCUUAUCCAAAAGCAGUCAUGUGUCAUCAUGUGCUUUAUUAUGAAUCUCAAAAGGCCUUCAGGGCCUGUGAUCCUGUAAGCUGUAAAGUUUUUAUUUCCAGAGACGUUGAUUUCCAAGAACCUUAUGAUCCAGCCAUAGAGACUGAGCAGCCGCGUAGCAUAUUUGACAGGAAAUGAGGCUCUCUCAAGCAUCACUACCUGAUAUAUUCGUUUAACUAGAUAAUAGCAUGCAGAAGGCAGCAGUUUUGUCCAUGGAGUCACAAGAAGUUGUAACACUUAGCAAUUACAAAGUCAACACUGAAGAGAUGACCAGCGAUUUUACGAGUAAUUAAAUACAAGAGCCUUCUCCUAGAAAAGAAUGGGAAGACCACAUGUGAGAUGGAUUGAUGAUUCGUCCAACAAGCUCUCUCAAAACUAGCUGCAGGGAUGUCGUAGAAUAGCCAUAAGACUUCAAGAUUGUCAGUAGUCCCCUCAAAUAUAUGGCAAUUGAAAUGUCGCGGAAGAAAUAAGGGGAUUUUAUAAAUUUCUUUUAGAUGUUGAGCAUGAGCAGAAUGCUUGUUCACAAUGGUUAUAACUAGGUGGAAUAAAAACGAAGCAGCCAACUUGACUGCCCAGCCCUUUCACGAAGAGAGAAUUUGCAUAUAAUAAUCCACUUUUUACCACACAAUCAAUGUUUUGCUCAGGAAUGCAGCUCCCAUUGAUUUUUCCUGCAAAGUCUACGUUUAACUGUCCUCAUUUAUCGUACUGCUGGGUUUGGAAAUUGCUUGGGUGGAAAAGUUCAAUAAAGCUCUGGUUCACAAUUCUUGGGCAUUCGAAUCGGUAAUAUAUUACCAAUUAUAAUAUAACAAUAUAUUACCGAAGGUGACCGAAAGACAACCUCUUACCUCUUGCUUUCCCUUACCUUCAUAGAAAUAAAUGAUCCAUACAUACAAUAUAUGGUUCUGGCUUGGGUGGCAGACGGGUAGUUUUUUGUUGUCCAUUGUUGAUUCUUUAUCAAGAUAUUUAAAACCCCAAUAACACUCUAAAAUCUUAUUUCCAUAAAAACAUCAGAAACAAUUUACGAAAUGUAAAAGGCAACGUGAACCCGAAUGGCGAAAACAUCAUGAGAAGAACAGCACAACCCUUAACAACAACAGUGUAACUCUCAGCACGGGUUUGGUGUUUUUGGCUACAUUAGCUAAUGGCUCUCGCUUAAUGGGGCUAAAGUCGAUAGCUAAUGAAAUUCCUUUGUGGGGUUUUUGGAUUAGCGAAAUAACUCCCUAGCGCUCAAUUAGCGAAGUCACAAAAAAUAGCCAGAAAAUUAUACAAUAAUAUCUUGGUAGUUAUUAUAUAAAAUUUGUUUUCUAUGGAACGGAAUGCCAUGUCUUUCAUAGAAGGUUGAUUUCAUUCCACUGUUUCCAUGAAUAUGAUUCAUGAAAAUCCUUCAUGAACACAGCGGAAUCAUAUAUUUUUCAGAUGCCACGUAAUCGUUUCAAAAAUAGGGGUCACAGACCAUUAAAAAGGAAUCUUGAGGCGGUGGUUUACGUCGAACCCGAAGCAGCAUCCCAGAUUCCUCUGGACCAAAUUCAAGUACAGCUCAAAGUCACACCCCAGAUUCAAUACCAAGGUGCUGGGGCCUAAUUCCCGUUCAACUGAACGCCGUAAAUCCUUAGCCGAGACGGCCGAGAGCCAAAAGGAACAGGGCCCCCAAAAAGAUUUUCACUCCUAGAUACAAGUACUGUGACUGCGCUUGUUCUUUCUUCUGUAGAUAAAUUCAUCGUUUUGAAAUGUUGGAUCACCCAAAAAUAUGUCGCAUGUCCUGUCCCCACCCGCGGCAUGGCCUUAGGGUAUGGGGGACAAA